rnacentral:rRNA from 1 species
GAUGAACGCUGGCGGCGUGCCUAAUACAUGCAAGUCGAGCGAACAGACGAGGAUCUUGCUCCUCUGACGUUAGCGGCGGACGGGUGAGUAACACGUGGAUAACCUACCUAUAAGACUGGGAUAACUUCGGGAAACCGGAUCUAAUACCGGAUAAUAUGGUGAACCGCAUGGUUCAAUAGUGAAAGACGGUUUUGCUGUCACUUAUAGAUGGAUCCGCGCCGGAUUAGCUAGGUGGUAAGGUAACGGCUUACCAAGGCAACGAUGCGUAGCCGACCUGAGAGGGUGAUCAGUCACACUGGAACUGAGACACGGUCCAGACUCCUACGGGAGGCAGCAGUAGGGAAUCUUGCGCAAUGGGCGAAAGCUUGACGGAGCAACGCCGCGUGAGUGAUGAAGGUCUUCGGAUCGUAAAACUCUGUUACUAGGGAAGAACAAAAGUGUAAGUAACUAUGCACGUCUUGACGGUACCUAAUCAGAAAGCCACGGCUAACUACGUG